AGGCCGCGGUAUAUUAACUGUGCAAAGGUAGCAUAAUCAUUAGCUUUUUAAUUGAGGGCUUGUAUGAAGGGUUGAACAAAGAAAAAGCUGUCUUUAUUUUUGAGGUUGAAUUUAACUUUUAAGUGAAAAGGCUUAAAUAAUCUUAAGGGACGAUAAGACCCUAUAAAUCUUUAUAUUAUAUUUUAUUGGGGUGAUAAGAAUAUAUAAUUAACUGUUUUUAAUAAAUUACAAAGUUAUUUGAUUAGUUUAAUAGAUCCUUUUUAGAGAGUUAAAGUUUAAGUUACUUUAGGGAUAACAGCGUUAUUUUUCUUGAGAGUUCUUAUCGAAAGAAGAGUUUGCGACCUCGAUGUUGAAUUAAAAUUUCUUUAUGGUGAAGGAGCUAUAAGUAGAAACUUUUAAAAUUUUACGUGAUCUGAG
rnacentral:rRNA from 1 species